rnacentral:rRNA from 1 species
AGAGUUUGAUCAUGGCUCAGGAUAAACGCUGGCGGCGUGCCUUAUGCAUGCAAGUCGAACGUGAAGCCCGCUUCGGCGGGUGGAAAGUGGCGAACGGGUGAGUAACACGUAGGAACCUGCCCGGAAGUGGGGGAUAACCCCGCGAAAGCGGGGCUAAUACCGCAUGUGGUCGUAAGACUAAAGCUUCGGUGCUUCCGGAGGGGCCUGCGGCGGAUUAGCUAGUUGGUGGGGUAAUGGCCUACCAAGGCGACGAUCCGUAGCUGGUCUGAGAGGAUGGUCAGCCACACUGGAACUGAGACACGGUCCAGACUCCUACGGGAGGCAGCAGCAAGGAAUUUUGCGCAGUGGGCGAAAGCCUGACGCAGCAACGCCGCGUGGGGGAAGAAGGCCUUCGGGUUGUAAACCCCUUUUGCGAGGGAAGAAGAUCUGACGGUACCUCGCGAAUAAGCCACGGCUAACUACGUGCCAGCCGCCGCGGUAAUAC